rnacentral:rRNA from 1 species
AGCGAACGCUGGCGGCAGGCCUAAAACAUGCAAGUCGAACGCCGUAGCAAUACGGAGUGGCAGACGGGUGAGUAACACGUGGGAACGUGCCUUUUGGUUCGGAACAACCCAGGGAAACUUGGGCUAAUACCGGAUAAGCCCUUCGGGGGAAAGAUUUAUCGCCAGAAGAUCGGCCCGCGUCUGAUUAGCUAGUUGGUGGGGUAACGGCCCACCAAGGCUACGAUCAGUAGCUGGUCUGAGAGGAUGAUCAGCCACACUGGGACUGAGACA